rnacentral:rRNA from 1 species
AACUGUUUAGGCAGUGACGGUAUCCAUCCAGAAAGUCACGGGUAUAUACGUGCCAGCAGCCGCGGUAAUAUGUAGGUGGCAAGCGUUAUCUGGAUUUUUUGGGGGUAAAGCGAGCGCAGGCGGUUGCUUAGGUGUGAUGUGAAAGCUUUGGGCUUUCCCGAAGAAGUGCAUAGGAAACCGGGUGACUUGAGUGCAUAAGAGGACAGUGGAACUCCAUGUGUAGCGGUGGAAUGUGUAGAUAUAUGGAAGAACACCACUGGCGAAGGCGGCUCUCUGGUCUGCAACUGACGCUGAGGCUCGAAAGCAUGGGUAGCGAACACGAUUAGAUACCCUGGUAGUCCACGCCGUAAACGAUGAGUAUAUAGGUGUUGGAGGGUUUCCGCCCUUCAGUGCCGGAGCUAACGCAUUAAGCACUCCGCCUGGGGAGUACGACGGCAAGUUGGAAACUCAAAGGAAUUGACGGGGGGCCGCACAAGCGGUGGAGCUCGUGGUUGAAUUAGAAGGUACGCGAAGAACCUUCCCAGGUCUUGACAUCGUGCGCUAACGUUAGAGAUAAGGCGUUCCCUUCGGGGAUGCAAUGACAGGCGGUGCAUGGUAGUCGUCAGCUUGUGUCAGGAGAUGUGGGGCUAAGUCCCGCAACGAGCGCAACCCUGGUUAUUAGUUGCCAGCACUAAGUCGGGCCCUCUAGGGAGAUCGCCGGUGACAAACUGGAGGAAGGUGGGGAUCGACGUCAGAUCAUCAAGCCCAUUACGACCUGGGAUACACAAGUGGCACAAGGGUCGGUACAACGAGUCGCAAGCUCAGGAGAGUAAGUUAAUCUCUAAAAGCCGUUCUCACUUCGGGCAGUAGUCUGCAACUCCCCUACUCGAAGUCGGAAUCGCUAGUAAUCGCGGAUCAGCAUGCCGCGGGGAACACGUUCCCGGCCCUAGUACACACCGCCCGUCA